AUUGCCCCAGUAACGGCGAGUGAAGCGGCAAGAGCUCAAAUUUGAAAGCUGGCUCCUUCGGGGUCCGCAUUGUAAUUUGCAGAGGAUGUUUCGGGAGCGGCCCCCAUCUAAGUGUCCUGGAACGGACCGUCAUAGAGGGUGAGAAUCCCGUAUGGGAUGGGGUGCCCGCGCCCAUGUGAAACUCCUUCGACGAGUCGAGUUGUUUGGGAAUGCAGCUCUAAAUGGGUGGUAAAUUUCAUCUAAAGCUAAAUAUUGGCCGGAGACCGAUAGCGCACAAGUAGAGUGAUCGAAAGAUGAAAAGCACUUUGAAAAGAGAGUUAAAAAGCACGUGAAAUUGUUGAAAGGGAAGCGUUUGCGAUCAGACUCGCCGACGGGGUUCAGCCUGCCUUCGGGCAGGUGUACUUCCCCGCCGGCGGGCCAGCGUCGGUUUGGGCGGCCGGUCAAAGGCUCUGGGAAUGUAACGCCUCUCGGGGCGUCUUAUAGCCCAGGGUGUCAUGCGGCCUGCCCGGACCGAGGAACGCGCUUCGGCUCGGACGCUGGCAUAAUGGUCGUAAACGACCCGUCUUGAAACACGGACCAAGGAGUCUAACAUCUAUGCGAGUGUUCGGGUGUCAAACCCGUGCGCGAAGUGAAAGCGAACGGAGGUGGGAACCCUUUGGGUGCACCAUCGACCGAUCCUGAUGUCUUCGGAUGGAUUUGAGUAAGAGCAUAGCUGUUGGGACCCGAAAGAUGGUGAACUAUGCCUGAAUAGGGCGAAGCCAGAGGAAACUCUGGUGGAGGCUCGCAGCGGUUCUGACGUGCAAAUCGAUCGUCAAAUUUGGGUAUAGGGGCGAAAGACUAAU
rnacentral:rRNA from 1 species